CCUGAUCCAGCAAUGCCGCGUGAGUGAAGAAGGCCUUCGGGUUGUAAAGCUCUUUCAGUUGAGAAGAAAAAAUUGUGACUAAUAAUCACAAUUGAUGACGGUAUCAACAGAAGAAGCACCGGCUAACUACGUGCCAGCAGCCGCGGUAAUACGUAGGGUGCGAGCGUUAAUCGGAAUUACUGGGCGUAAAGGGUGCGCAGGCGGUUUUGUAAGUCAGAUGUGAAAUCCCCGGGCUUAACCUGGGAAUUGCGUUUGAAACUACAAAGCUAGA
rnacentral:rRNA from 1 species